rnacentral:rRNA from 1 species
UUCCGGUUGAUCCUGCCGGAGGCCACUGCUAUCAGAGUUCGAUUAAGCCAUGCGAGUCGAGAGGUGCAAGACCUCGGCAUACUGCUCAGUAACACGUGGACAAUCUAACCUACGGAUGAGGAUAACCCCGGGAAACUGGGGAUAAUACUCUAUAGACUAUGGAAGCUGGAAUGCUCUGUAGCCGAAAGGUCCGCCGCCGUAGGAUGGGUCUGCGGCCGAUUAGGUUGUUGUUGGGGUAACGGCCCAACAAGCCUGUAAUCGGUACGGGUUUGUGGGAGCAAGAGCCCGGAGAUGGAUUCAGAGACACGAAUCCAGGCCCUACGGGGCGCAGCAGGCGCGAAAACUUUACAAUGCGGGAAACCGUGAUAAGGGGACUCUGAGUGCCCGUUAAAUCGGGCUGUCCAUCAGUUUAAAAAACUGGUGAAGAAAGGGCCGGGGCAAGACCGGUGCCAGCCGCCGCGGUAAUACCGGCGGCUCGAGUGGUGGCCACUAUUACUGGGCUUAAAGCGUUCGUAGCUGGUUUGUUAAGUCUCUGGGGAAAUCUUCCGGCCUAACCGGAAGGCGUCUCAGGGAUACUGGCAGACUAGGGACCGGAAGAGGUGAGAGGUACUCCAGGGGUAGGAGUGAAAUCCUGUAAUCCUUGGGGGACCACCUGUGGCGAAGGCGUCUCACCAGGACGGCUCCGACAGUGAGGGACGAAAGCUGGGGGAGCAAACCGGAUUAGAUACCCGGGUAGUCCCAGCCGUAAACGAUGUGCAUUAGGUGUAUCGGUGACCAUGAGUCACCGAGGUGCCGAAGAGAAAUCGUGAAAUGCACCGCCUGGGAAGUACGGUCGCAAGGCUGAAACUUAAAGGAAUUGGCGGG